rnacentral:rRNA from 1 species
GCAAGUCGAGCGCUACCUUCGGGUGGAGCGGCGGACGGGUUAGUAACGCGUGGGAAUAUACCCUUCACUAUGGAAUAGCCUCGGGAAACUGGGAGUAAUACCAUAUACGCCCUUCGGGGGAAAGAUUUAUCGGUGAAGGAUUAGCCCGCGUCUGAUUAGAUAGUUGGUGGGGUAACGGCCUACCAAGGCGACGAUCUGUAGCUGGUCUGAGAGGACGAUC